rnacentral:rRNA from 1 species
GACGAACGCUGGCGGCGUGCCUAAUACAUGCAAGUCGAACGAUGAUAUCGCUGCUUGCUUCGCUUGAUUAGUGGCGAACGGGUGAGUAACACGUGAGGAACUUGCCCGUGAGCGGGGGACAACUUUCGGAAACGAAUGCUAAUACCCCAUAAGAGGAUAGGUCGCAUGACAAUUUCUUUAAAGGUGGCUUCGCUACCCCUCAUGAAGGACCUCCCGUGGAAUAACCUAGUGGGGAAGGAACUGCUCUACCAAGGCACUAAUCCUUACCCAACUUGAAAGGGGGAUCGGCCCCCCGGGAACUAAAACCCGGCCCAAACUCCUACGGAAGGCACCAGAAGGAAACCUUCCACAUGGAGUGCAAACCUAAUGAACCACUGCCCCGGGAGUAAAAAAGGUCUUCGAAUCGAAAACUUCUGUUGAUAAAAAAAACCACGGGCUAAGUGACUACUACCGCCUGGACCGUAUCCAUACAAAAAGUCGACGGUUACUACCUGGCCACCGCCCCGGUAAUACCUAAGUGACCAACCGUGUCCGGAAUUAUUGGGCCUAAAGGCAACGCAAGCCGUCUGUAUAAUCUGAUGUGAAGGCCGCGGCUUAACCGAGAAACGGCUUUGGAAACUGACAGACUUGAAUGUAGAAGAGGGAGAAUGGAAUUCCAAGUGUAGCGGUGGAAUGCGUAGAUAUAUGGAGGAACACCAGUGGCGAAGGCGAUUUUCUGGUCUAACACUGACGCUGAGGCUCGAAAGCGUGGGGAGCGAACAGGAUUAGAUACCCUGGUAGUCCACGCCGUAAACGAUGAGUGCUAAGUGUUGGGGCCUUUCCGGCCCUCGGUGCUGCAGCUAACGCAUUAAGCACUCCGCCUGGGGAGUACGACCGCAGGGUUGAAACUCAAAAGAAUUGACGGGGACCCGCACAAGCGGUGGAGCAUGUGGUUUAAUUCGAAGCAACGCGAAGAACCUUACCAGCUCUUGACUUCUUCUGACCACUCUAGAGAUAGAGCGUUCCCUUCGGGGCCGGAAUGACAGGUGGUGCAUGGUUGUCGUCAGCUCGUGUCGUGAGAUGUUGGGUUAAGUCCCGCAACGAGCGCAACCCUUGUUGUUAGUUGCCAUCAUUCAGUUGGGCACUUUAGCGAGACUGCCGGUGAUAAACCGGAGGAAGGCGGGGAUGACGUCAAAUCAUCAUGCCCCUUAUGAUCUGGGCUACACACGUGCUACAAUGGAUGGUACAACGAGCAGCGAUCCCGCAAGGGCUAGCUAAUCUUUCAAAGCCAUUCUCAGUUCGGAUUGCAGUCUGCAACUCGCGUGCAUGAAGUCGGAAUCGCUAGUAAUCGCGAAUCAGCACGUCGCGGUGAAUCCGUUCCCGGGCCU